rnacentral:rRNA from 1 species
GACGAAGGUGGCGAGCGUUGUUCGGAAUCACUGGGCAUAAAGCGCACGUAGGCGGUGACGUAAGUCGGGUGUGAAAUCCCUCGGCCUAACCGAGGAACUGCGCCCGAUACUGCGUUGCUUGAGGACCAGAGGGGUGCAUGGAAUUUCCGGUGGAGCGGUGAAAUGCGUUGAUAUCGGAAGGAACUCCGGCGGCGAAAGCGAUGCACUGGCUGGUUUCUGACGCUGAGGUGCGAAAGCCAGGGGAGCAAACGGG